UAAGCGGACGGUAUACGCCGUAAGGUCACAACAUUUUAUGACACUUCUUAUCUUUAUAGAAAGAGAAACGGUGAGCAAUAUCUACAUUACCUGGUGCACUUUGAAUAAUUUAAUUUCUAAUUUUACUAAAAGAAUAUAAUUUCUAAUUGUACGGGUUUUUUUUUUUUCAGAAUGCUUUAAGACUUCUUUGUAAGGAGGAAUGUAAAUAUUAUGACGUUUUGACACCUGGAAUAUUUUGGGGCUCAGACGAUUCAUUGUAAAUGCUGUGCAUCAACUGUAUAAAGCUUCAACUAAAAUAUGCAUUUUGAAUGUAGAUAUUGUUUUGCAGCAUUUUGUGUGUUCCAUAAUUGUUCAGGGUUGGUGGUCUGCUUCGGAUGAUCGAAAUUAUUUCAUGCGGCGUUGUCUGGGAAUCUUCUUUUGUUACAUUUACGACUCUUGGGGAUUCAUCUGGCUGGGAUGAGAUGUUUUUAUUCCCAAUAUAACUUUUGAACAUGGUGAUGACGGAGAUGUAUUAAACAAGAGGGCCAUGAUGGCCUUGCAUCGGUCACCUGACUUAAGUCGCUUGCUUGGACCAAUUUCUUUGCUAAAGUUUCAAAAAAGCUAUACAAGGAGGUCAUGGUAAAGAGUAUUCAAGUUACUCAAGAUAACUACUGAAUUCUGUUAAAAAUUAUACAGGUGAUCCAAAUCUCUUUGCUGUAGCUUCAAAAACAAGAAAGUAGGUCAGUAGGUCAGCGUUAAGAAUAUUAAGCCGGAUAUUCCCAUCUGCAACUGCCACCAUUGCAAGAAUCUAAUAAUCAUUUUUCUCCUUGUUUUGAAUUUUUGACUUAGUAGCCAAAAGGUUACAGACAAUCCUUAGUAUAGACUACAAAUGUUGGAAGGCUUUACAUUAAUUACAUCAAUUUACUGUCUCGGUUCCAAGUUUCUUGUAUUAGUUAUAGAAAGACCAGUAAUCUGUAUGCCACAUUGAUGAUUACUGAUUUUUUUUACAGGACACGAGAUCGUGAAUAAGUACGUAAUUGAAAAACACUUCUCUUAUUCGUAAAUUCACCUAAAAAAUCUUUUGACGCUUCAAAGAAAUAAAAUAAUUCUUGUGGUAAUGUACACUAUCAGAAUGAUAACAUGUGCUUUAAGCACGUUCGAAGACAGGCUGCUUAUUCAUAGUUGCUAGGUAUUAUUAUAGAUGUUUAUUUUUUCUUUUGAAGUAGGAAACUGAUACAUGUGUGUUCACUCCAUUUUCUCAUAGCUGACAAUUAGACGUUAAUUGUCCAAGAAGCAUGUUGCUUUACGUUCUAUUGACCUUUGCAGUCCUACAAACCAUCUCGGCUACUGUCCCACCAUCUCUUGUAACCCAUUCCUCAUCAAACACACUGCAGCAUUGCUCAGACAGAUUGCCUAACUGUGCAUUAUUCGACAAAAACACAGUCUGUGAGGGUGUAUUUGAACAAUGGGCUAUCGAUAACUGUCAGAAUACUGUAACAAAUGUAACUGGAUGAUUAUGAUGAAGGGUGUGGCAGGUGUACCGGGUUACCUAUAUAACCUCUGGUAUGGAACUGGAACCAUGAAUACAAAUGUACUAGAAGCCAUGGAUCUAACUAGCACAUACCCAGGACAUUACAAACCAGACCUGUCCAAUUAUUGGAAUGGUCGAUGUAUCGACAAGAUGUUAUGUAUAUUAAGCAAUUGUACAGAUACACCAAAUACAUGUUGUUAUGGAGGCAAACAUUACCAUGAAGAAGAACAAUGGAAAGACGGAUGUAAGUACAAGUGUACUUGCAAAGACGGAAAAGGCUCCUACCAAUGUGACAUACUUUGUCCGCAGUGGAUCUUACCAAAACAAUGUUAUUUUGACCCUGCACCGGCCGGCAAAUGCUGUCAGGUACCAGUAUGCCCUUGCGGCCUUAUUCUGGAUUUCCUGCCUAUUAACUGCUACAAGUAUACGCAACCUACAAAUUUACCCGCCUGAUUGAUAUGUACAGGAAUGAAUACACCAAUGAAGUCAAACGUCUUAAUGAUAUAUGUACUUAUAUAAUUGUCACCUAAAUAAAUUUGCUUUGUUUUUCAGUCUAAUUUGUUUCUUGUGCAAUGCUUAUAACAUGCACCUUUCGCUGCCUACAAUUGAAUGCAUUUGCACGUGUGUUUUGUGAAUACGUUAAUGUUAUAAUGUGGCUCUCAAGGUGGGUGUAAUACAAUUAAACUAAAAAACGGGGUUUUGUAAAUCUUGUCAUUUUUGUAAUAAUGUAAGUCAUUAAAAAAGACUGUAAACAACAUUAAAACAACAUUUGGGUUA